rnacentral:rRNA from 1 species
UACGGGGGGGGCGAGCGUUGUUCGGAAUCACUGGGCGUAAAGGGCGCGUAGGCGGCCCGCACAAGUCUGCGGUGAAAACCCCCGGCUUAACCGGGGGCCGGCCGUGGAAACUGUCGGGCUGGAGGCUGGGAGAGGGCAGCGGAAUUCCCGGUGUAGCGGUGAAAUGCGUAGAUAUCGGAAGGAACAUCAGUGGCGAAGGCGACCUCCUGGACCAAUACUGACACUCAAGUGCGAAAGCGUGGGGAGCAAACAGG